rnacentral:rRNA from 1 species
CACCUUCGAACUCGACCUCAGAUCAGGUGGGACUACCCGCUGAACUUAAGCAUAUCAAUAAGCGGAGGAAAAGAAACUAACAAGGAUUCCCCUAGUAACUGCGAGUGAAGCGGGAAAAGCUCAAAUUUAAAAUCUGGCGGUCUCUGUGGCCGUCCGAGUUGUAAUUUAGAGAAGCGUUUUCCGCGCCGGUCCGUGUACAAGUCUCCUGGAACGGAGCGUCGUAGAGGGUGAGAAUCCCGUCUUUGACACGGACAGCCGGUGCUAUGUGAUACGCUCUCGAAGAGUCGAGUUGUUUGGGAAUGCAGCUCAAAACGGGUGGUGAACUCCAUCUAAAGCUAAAUAUUGGCGAGAGACCGAUAGCGAACAAGUACCGUGAGGGAAAGAUGAAAAGCACUUUGGAAAGAGAGUGAAACAGUACGUGAAAUUGCUGAAAGGGAAACGCUUGAAGUCAGUCGCGUCCGCCGGGACUCAGCCCUCGUGGUGUACUUUCCGGCGGACGGGCCAGCAUCACUUUCGGUCGUCGGAUAAGGGCGGGGGAAAUGUGGCACCCUUCGGGGUGUGUUAUAGUCCCCCGUCGUAUACGUCGGCCGGGAGUGAGGACCGCCUUUGUUGCAGGAUGCUGGCGUAAUGGCUUUAAACGACCC